AACUUCGACAAAAGUUAGAGAUACGAGAUGAGGAAGAGGAAGAAGAAGAAGAAGAAGAAAAGUCGA
rnacentral:sRNA from 1 species